GAGAGAGUCCACUAAAAACUUCGCAGGAUUUAAUUCAUCAACCAGAGGUUUUUGCUGAAGAGGGUUUGAAGCUUGCUUCAAGUGUGCAAGCUUUCUCAAAACAGCUGAAAGAUGAUGAUAAGCUUAUGCUUCUCCUGGAAAUAAACAAGCUUGUUCCUCUGUGCCACCAGCUCCAGGCAGUAACUAAGACACCUUUGCAGAAUCAAGUGUUUCUAAAGGUUGAUAAGAGUAUUACAAAGACAAGAUGCAUAAUGGCUACUUUGGUCCAACUUCUGUCGCUUUGCUAUAAACUGCUGAAGAAGCUUCAAAUGGACAACAACAGAUGAGUCUCAGUUACAAAUAAAGAUUCUGUGGAUGGUAAAACUUGAGAAGCUUUUGAGGUCAGAUCUCUGGAACACCAUGUGGCAAAGCUGACAUUUUUAGAAAGCAAACGAUCCUUUAUAUUUCAGAAAUAGAACAAUUUUGUAAAGAAAACAAACUGAAAUCUUGCUUUAUUUUCUGAUCAUGAAACCAAUUGUGAAGCUUUCUG